ACCAGGCACUGUGGUGCAUGCCUGUAGUCCCAACUACUUGGGAGGCUGAGGCAGGAGAAUCACUUGAGCCCAGGAGUUCUGGAUCAUAGUGCCCUAUGCCAAUUGGAUGUCCACACUAAGUUCAGCAUCAAUAUGAUAACCUCCUGGGAGUGGGGUCCACCAGUUGCUGAAGGAGGGGUGAACUGGCCCAGGUCAGAAAUGGAGCAAGUCAAAAUUCCCAUUCUCAUCAAUAGUAGGAUCACACUUGUGAAUAGUUACUGCACCCCAGUCUGGACAACAUAGUGAGACCCUGUCUUGA
ensembl:misc_RNA Metazoa_SRP Metazoan signal recognition particle RNA